AAUAAAAAUUGUCUUGAUGUUGUUUUUCAAUCAAUAACAUGGUAAAAAUAUUGCUAAUAUGUUAUAUUAUAUUUUCACAAAUUUUUCUGCAGGCCUGAUGUCUAAGUCUCCGGCUGAAUAACUUGAAAAUUCUUAUUAGCAAAGAUGGCUUUGAAUUAGAAAAAAAUGGACGACCAUCUGUCAUUAAUUGUUUAUAUCUGUUUGACAUUUGGCUUUUUCGAUAUUUUGUGAAAUCAAAAAUGGUAUUCUCCAGUAGCGAACAACGUGAUAUGGUCCAAAUUUACUAUUCUUUGAAUAGAAAUUCGCAACGCUCCUGCCAACAAUAUCUGGAGCAAUAUCCAGAGCGCCCCCAACCUAAUUAUACGUAUUUCGGAGCUUUGGACAGGAACCUUAGCCUCUAUGGAAGUUUCACUAAACCUCGAAAUAUGUAUGGGACUCGAGUGCAUCCUGAAACCGAGCAGGCGAUUAUUAAUGCUGUUACCCAAAAUCCGCAAGGUUCAACCAGACAAUUUUCCCGUGAAUUGAAUAUGCCAAGUACCCGUAUCCACAGAGUAUUGAGAUAAAAUCGCUAUCGCCCCUAUAAACUUCAUAUCAGUCAAGAACUUAGGCAUGGAGAUACCGAUAGAAGGCUUCAGUUUUGCAAUUGGUUGAACGAAAAACUGCAAGAUGAUGAAGACUUUUUAAACAAAAUAAUUUGGACAGAUGAAUGUAACUUUUCGACCAACGGGCUAUUUAAUCGGAAUAAUGAACAUUUUUAUUCAGUCGAAAAUCCGAGACAAAACCGCGAAGUAAGAAGACAGGGGCAUAAUUCUUUCAAUGCUUGGGUGGGUCUUUACAGGAAUCGAAUUUUGGGACCUAUUAUAUACGACGGUAAUUUAACUGCUGAGCGCUAUUUAGAUUUAAUUCUGCCAAAUAUAUUCGAUGUUCUUGAAAAUGAACCUCUUGAUAUUAUCCGCGAUUUGUGGUGGCAGCAGGAUGGUGCACAACCCCAUAAUGGAAGGAAUGUCACACGAUUUUUAAAUCAUAAUUUUCCUAAUCAGUGGAUUGGAAAUCAAGGGGUGGUGCGCUGGCCAGCUAGAAGUCCCGAUCUUUCCCCGUUGGAUUAUUUUCUUUGGGGCUAUUUAAAGAACAGACUAUUUAAGAACACCCCAAAUGAUAUAAACAUUUUACGUGCAAAUUUAUUGACAGAAUUAAGGGGUAUACGAGCCAGGACUAUCCAGCGGGCAGUGUCUGGAAAUUUACGUAGAAGGAUACAGAAAUGUAUUGAGGUGCAGGGUCAACUAUUUGAAUAUUUACUUUAAACUUAAAAUAUUGCAUUUUUUCGCAUUAAGUUCUAUUAUUUUUAGUUUGUGUUGUUCAACAUACAAAUUAGUAAUAAAUUAUAGUUGUUACUAUUGUUAUUGUUAAAAUUUAGUAUAAUAUAUCAAAUUUAUACUAUU